rnacentral:misc_RNA from 1 species
AACAGCUAUUGUAACUAGAGAAACGAUUCUGGAACAUUACCAAUCAAAUUCUCAUUCUUCUCUCUCUAACUUCUGUUCUUUGUCUUCUCUCUGUCUUUUCUCUGCUCCUUUCUCUUCUUUUCCUAUUCUUUCUUCUAUAUUAUCAGCUAUACUGGAUAGUAGGGUUCUGUUACAUGAUACAUUACACAUCUGUUUUCUGGUUUAGCAUAAUUAAUAAUUUUACAGGCCAUUUUGUGAUAAAUAUUUGAGAAUCACAAGUCAAAUGGUCCAUUAAGUCCAUUGCACCUCAUCGCACUUAGUUGCUAUGGCGGUUAACCAGAAAUCCUCCUUUUGUUUUGCAAGCUAAAUUUUCAAAGUUCGAUGAUAAUGCUGGCUGUGGUUUUUACACUUUGGUCAUGACAUCUUGGAACAGGCUCACAGCAAGCACAAUCUCAGAUGCUAUUUAAAACCUUAAUCUCGCUGCCUUGGAAAUCUUGAGUGUAUUCUGUUUCCUAUUAUGUUCAAUAAUUUUCUUCAUACUGGUGUCUUGGUUGGAGCCUAAAAUAAGAGUAUUGCCUGUGUGCAUUUUUUUUUUCCAUUUUCUUUUAUAUCGUGAGUGAUCCACUGAUCCUUUGAAUUCCCUAGGUUAUUGCUGAAAAUCUCUCUG